rnacentral:rRNA from 1 species
UACGUAGGGUGCAAGCGUUGUCCGGAAUUAUUGGGCGUAAAGAGCUCGUAGGCGGUCUGUCGCGUCUGCUGUGAAAACCCGAGGCUCAACCUCGGGCCUGCAGUGGGUACGGGCAGACUAGAGUGCGGUAGGGGAGAAUGGAACUCCUGGUGUAGCGGUGGAAUGCGCAGAUAUCAGGAAGAACACCGAUGGCGAAGGCAGUUCUCUGGGCCGUAACUGACGCUGAGGAGCGAAAGCGUGGGGAGCGAACAGG